rnacentral:rRNA from 1 species
AUGAACGCUGGCGGCGUGCCUAAUACAUGCCAGUCGAGCGAACAGACGAGGAGCUUGCUCCUCUGACGUUAGCGGCGGACGGGUGAGUAACACGUGGAUAACCUACCUAUAAGACUGGGAUAACUUCGGGAAACCGGAGCUAAUACCGGAUAAUAUAUUGAACCGCAUGGUUCAAUAGUGAAAGACGGUUUUGCUGUCACUUAUAGAUGGAUCCGCGCCGCAUUAGCUAGUUGGUAAGGUAACGGCUUACCAAGGCAACGAUGCGUAGCCGACCUGAGAGGUGGAUCGGCCCACUGGGACCUGGGCCCCGGUCCGGCCCCCUACGGGAGGCAGCAGUAGGAAUUCUUCCGCAAUGGGCGAAAGCCUGACGGGGCAACGCCGCGUAAGUGAUGAAGGUCUCCGGAUCGUAAAACUCUGUUAUUAGGAAAGAACAAAUGUGUAAGUAACUAUGCUCGUCUUGACGUUACCUAUCAGAAAGCCACGGCUAACUACGUG